CAGCCGCCACGGGAACACGAAGGGGGCUAGCGUUGUUCGGAAUUACUGGGCGUAAAGGGCGCGUAGGCGGCCAUUCAAGUUAGAUGUGAAAGCCCUGGGCUCAACCUAGGAAUUGCAUUUGAUACUGUUUGGCUUGAGUUCGGGAGAGGUGAGUGGAAUUCCCAGUGUAGAGGUGAAAUUCGUAGAUAUUGGGAAGAACACCAGUGGCGAAGGCGGCUCACUGGACCGACACUGACGCUGAGGCGCGAAAGCGCGGGGAGCAAACAGGAUUAGAUACCCCCGUAGUCCCUGUCUCUUAUAC
rnacentral:rRNA from 1 species